CGACCCCCGCGCCGGGGGGAUUUAAAAAUGAGCGUGGGCUGUGUACAGUAAACUAACAUAUCAACAAGACCAGAAAGAUGUCAAACUGGCGAGAUGCUGAGAUCUGCGAGAUUUAAUGAGUGCACAUU